AGUAAUACAUCGGAACGUGUCUUCUAGUGGGGGAUAACUGCCCGAAAGGGCAGCUAAUACCGCAUGAGACCUGAGGGUGAAAGCGGGGGAUCGCAAGACCUCGCGCUGGAAGAGCGGCCGAUGUCCGAUUAGCUAGUUGGUGAGGUAAAGGCUCACCAAGGCGACAAUCGGUAGCUGGUCUGAGAGGACGACCAGCCACACUGGGACUGAGACACGGCCCAG
rnacentral:rRNA from 1 species